rnacentral:rRNA from 1 species
GAUGAACGCUGGCGGCGUGCCUAAUACAUGCAAGUCGAGCGAACAGACGAGGAGCUUGCUCCUCUGACGUUAGCGGCGGACGGGUGAGUAACACGUGGAUAACCUACCUAUAAGACUGGGAUAACUUCGGGAAACCGGAGCUAAUACCGGAUAAUAUAUUGAACCGCAUGGUUCAAUAGUGAAAGACGGUUUUGCUGUCACUUAUAGAUGGAUCCGCGCCGCAUUAGCUAGUUGGUAAGGUAACGGCUUACCAAGGCAACGAUGCGUAGCCGACCUGAGAGGGGGAUCGGCCACCCUGGAACUGAGACACGGUCCAGACUCCUGCGGGAGGCAGCAGUAGGGAAUCUUCCGCAAUGGGCGAAAGCCUGACGGAGCAACGCCGCGUGAGUGAUGAAGGUCUUCGGAUCGUAAAACUCUGUUAUUAGGGAAGAACAAAUGUGUAAGUAACUAUGCACGUCUUGACGGUACCUAAUCAGAAAGCCACGGCUAACUACGUG